GCGCUCUUAGCUUAAUGGAUAAAGCUCUGGUCUUCGGAACCAGUGAUGGGGGUUCGAUUCCCUCAGAGCGCA
rnacentral:tRNA from 1 species